rnacentral:rRNA from 1 species
CCUACGGGUGGCAGCAGUGGGGAAUAUUGGACAAUGGGGGCAACCCUGAUCCAGCCAUGCCGCGUGUGUGAAGAAGGCCCUCGGGUUGUAAAGCACUUUCAGUGAGGAAGAACGCCUGGUGGUUAAUACCCAUCAGGAAAGACAUCACUCACAGAAGAAGCACCGGCUAACUCCGUGCCAGCAGCCGCGGUAAUACGGAGGGUGCGAGCGUUAAUCGGAAUUACUGGGCGUAAAGCGCGCGUAGGUGGCUUGAUAAGCCGGUUGUGAAAGCCCCGGGCUCAACCUGGGAACGGCAUCCGGAACUGUCAAGCUAGAGUGCAGGAGAGGAAGGUAGAAUUCCCGGUGUAGCGGUGAAAUGCGUAGAGAUCGGGAGGAAUACCAGUGGCGAAGGCGGCCUUCUGGACUGACACUGACACUGAGGUGCGAAAGCGUGGGUAGCAAACAGGAUUAGAUACCCUGGUAUC